rnacentral:misc_RNA from 1 species
AACCAUAGAAACCUGCGGAGUACCUGCGGAGGGAUCAUUACCGAGUUUACAACUCCCAAACCCCUGUGAACAUACCUAUACGUUGCCUCGGCGGAUCAGCCCGCGCCCUGUAAAAAGGGACGGCCCGCCCGAGGACCCUAAACUCUGUUUUUAGUGGAACUUCUGAGUAAAACAAACAAAUAAAUCAAAACUUUCAACAACGGAUCU